rnacentral:rRNA from 1 species
CCACACUGUAAACGAUGAUAGCUAGGUGUGGGGGGUCUGACCCCUUCCGUGCCGGAGUUAACGCAAUAAGCUAUCCACCUGGGGAGUACGGCCGCAAGGUUGAAACUCAAAGGAAUUGACGGGGGCCCGCACAAGCAGUGGAUUAUGUGGUUUAAUUCGAAGCAACGCGAAGAACCUUACCAGGUCUUGACAUCCGACUAACGAGAUAGAGAUAUGUCAGGUGCCCUUCGGGGAAAGUCGAGACAGGUGGUGCAUGGUUGU